rnacentral:rRNA from 1 species
AUUGAACGCUGGCGGCAUGCUUUACACAUGCAAGUCGAACGGCAGCGCGGGCUUCGGCCUGGCGGCGAGUGGCGAACGGGUGAGUAAUGCAUCGGAACGUGCCCAGUAGUGGGGGAUAGCCCGGCGAAAGCCGGAUUAAUACCGCAUACGACCUGAGGGUGAAAGCGGGGGACCGAAAGGCCUCGCGCUAUUGGAGCGGCCGAUGUCGGAUUAGCUAGUUGGUGGGGUAAAGGCUUACCAAGGCGACGAUCCGUAGCUGGUCUGAGAGGACGACCAGCCACACUGGGACUGAGACACGGCCCAGACUCCUACGGGAGGCAGCAGUGGGGAAUUUUGGACAAUGGGGGCAACCCUGAUCCAGCCAUGCCGCGUGCGGGAAGAAGGCCUUCGGGUUGUAAACCGCUUUUGUUCGGGAAGAAAUCCUCUGGGCUAAUACCCCGGGGGGAUGACGGUACCGGAAGAAUAAGGACCGGCUAACUACGUG